AACGAACGCUGGCGGCAGGCUUAACACAUGCAAGUCGAACGCCCCGCAAGGGGAGUGGCAGACGGGUGAGUAACACGUGGGAACAUGCCCAAAGGUACGGAAUAUUCUCGGGAAACUGGGAGCAAUACCGUAUGUGCCCGAAAGGGGAAAGAUUUAUCGCCUUUGGAUUGGCCCGCGUUGGAUUAGCUAGUUGGUGGGGUAAAAGCCUACCAAGGCGACGAUCCAUAGCUGGUCUGAGAGGACGAUCAGCCACACUGGGACUGAGACACGGCCCAGACUCCUACGGGAGGCAGCAGUGGGGAAUAUUGGACAAUGGGCGAAAGCCUGAUCCAGCAAUGCCGCGUGAGUGAUGAAGGCCUUAGGGUUGUAAAGCUC
rnacentral:rRNA from 1 species